rnacentral:ribozyme from 1 species
AAGAAGAGAAGAAAAGAAGAACAAAAAGAGGUAGCCAUUCUAGACCCCUCCCUUACAUUCUAACUCUCCUUUUUUUUUUUUUUUUUUUUUUUUUUUU